rnacentral:rRNA from 1 species
UACGUAGGGUGCGAGCGUUGUCCGGAAUUAUUGGGCGUAAAGAGCUCGUAGGCGGUCUGUCGCGUCGAUCGUGAAAACUUGGGGCUUAACCCUGAGCUUGCGGUCGAUACGGGCAUGACUGGAGUUCGGCAGGGGAGACUGAAUUCCUGGUGUAGCGGUGAAAUGCGCAGAUAUCAGGAGGAACACCGGUGGCGAAGGCGGGUCUCUGGGCCGAUACUGACGCUGAGGAGCGAAAGCGUGGGGAGCGAACAGG